rnacentral:lncRNA from 1 species
CUGACGGGAGGCAGCGACGUUGGAGAGUCGGAGAGAUGUUCUUCUAGGAGCCAUGAUGCGAAUGUGGGCCUUCUUCUAUCUGUUGCUGUUGAAAUCGAUCUAAAUCGGAGAGAGAGAGAUUGAGCUUUGUGUAGGGCUGCUGGUGCUGGGGUGACCUACAAAAUAAGUCCAAAUUAGAGGUUAUAGCUCCGAUGAAGACUCUCUAACGCUCAAGUCUGAUUCAGAGAACAAUGAAGCAGCAACAAGCUCUCUGAGAGGGGUUGAUUGGCUUACCUAGUCUUUGGGGCUCCGGUGGUUUAUAUAGAAGGCUGUCAAACAGCUGGUUGUACAGUUGUGAGAUUAUGCGAUCCUGAGAUUGCGAAGCCAUUGGACAUGCCAUUGUGGGUGAGAUAAUCCAGCCUUCAAUCACUCCUACGAGAUUGGGGGAGUCAAUUACACCUGAGUUGAUCCACUCGGGGUGGAUAGCUCACUUUGCAUAAUGGUUGGUGGCUAUGGUGGCGGCUUGGCAAUUUAAAGUAGCCUUCGACACCGUACUAAUCUGAGUGCUCAUGGC